AACGAACGCUGGCGGCAGGCCUAACACAUGCAAGUCGAACGCCGUAGCAAUACGGAGUGGCAGACGGGUGAGUAACACGUGGGAACGUACCCUCGGUUCGGAAUAACUCAGGGAAACGUUAGAGCUAAUACCGGAUACGUCCGAGAGGAGAAAGAUUUAUCGCCGAGGGAUCGGCCCGCGUCUGAUUAGCUUGUUGGUGAGGUAACGGCUCACCAAGGCGACGAUCAGUAGCUGGUCNGAGAGGA
rnacentral:rRNA from 1 species